rnacentral:rRNA from 1 species
UACAGAGGGUGCAAGCGUUAUUCGGAAUUACUGGGCGUAAAGCGCAUGUAGGCGGCAGCGCAAGUCGGGCGUGAAAUCCCACGGCUCAACCGUGGAAGUGCACUCGAAACUGCGCAGCUAGAGUCCUGGAGAGGAAGGUGGAAUGCUUGGUGUAGAGGUGAAAUUCGUAGAUAUCAAGCGGAACACCGGUGGCGAAGGCGGCCGUCUGGACAGUGACUGACGCUGAGAUGCGAAAGCGUGGGGAGCAAACAGG